GUUUUCCAGGCAAAUCCGGAAAAUCAAGGCUGAGGCGUGAUGACGAGGCACUACGGUGCUGAAGCAACAAAUGCCCUGCUUCCAGGAAAAGCCUCUAAGCAUCAGGUAACAUCAAAUCGUACCCCAAACCGACACAGGUGGUCAGGUAGAGAAUACCAAGGCGCUUGAGAGAACUCGGGUGAAGGAACUAGGCAAAAUGGUGCCGUAACUUCGGGAGAAGGCACGCUGAUAUGUAGGUGAAGUCCCUCGCGGAUGGAGCUGAAAUCAGUCGAAGAUACCAGCUGGCUGCAACUGUUUAUUAAAAACACAGCACUGUGCAAACACGAAAGUGGACGUAUACGGUGUGACGCCUGCCCGGUGCCGGAAGGUUAAUUGAUGGGGUCAGCGCAAGCGAAGCUCUUGAUCGAAGCCCCGGUAAACGGCGGCCGUAACUAUAACGGUCCUAAGGUAGCGAAAUUCCUUGUCGGGUAAGUUCCGACCUGCACGAAUGGCGUAAUGAUGGCCAGGCUGUCUCCACCCGAGACUCAGUGAAAUUGAACUCGCUGUGAAGAUGCAGUGUACCCGCGGCAAGACGGAAAGACCCCGUGAACCUUUACUAUAGCUUGACACUGAACAUUGAGCCUUGAUGUGUAGGAUAGGUGGGAGGCUUAGAAGUGUGGACGCCAGUCUGCAUGGAGCCGACCUUGAAAUACCACCCUUUAAUGUUUGAUGUUCUAACGUUGACCCGUAAUCCGGGUUGCGGACAGUGUCUGGUGGGUAGUUUGACUGGGGCGGUCUCCUCCUAAAGAGUAACGGAGGAGCACGAAGGUUGGCUAAUCCUGGUCGGACAUCAGGAGGUUAGUGCAAUGGCAUAAGCCAGCUUGACUGCGAGCGUGACGGCGCGAGCAGGUGCGAAAGCAGGUCAUAGUGAUCCGGUGGUUCUGAAUGGAAGGGCCAUCGCUCAACGGAUAAAAGGUACUCCGGGGAUAACAGGCUGAUACCGCCCAAGAGUUCAUAUCGACGGCGGUGUUUGGCACCUCGAUGUCGGCUCAUCACAUCCUGGGGCUGAAGUAGGUCCCAAGGGUAUGGCUGUUCGCCAUUUAAAGUGGUACGCGAGCUGGGUUUAGAACGUCGUGAGACAGUUCGGUCCCUAUCUGCCGUGGGCGCUGGAGAACUGAGGGGGGCUGCUCCUAGUACGAGAGGACCGGAGUGGACGCAUCACUGGUGUUCGGGUUGUCAUGCCAAUGGCACUGCCCGGUAGCUAAAUGCGGAAGAGAUAAGUGCUGAAAGCAUCUAAGCACGAAACUUGCCCCGAGAUGAGUUCUCCCUGACUCCUUGAGAGUCCUGAAGGAACGUUGAAGACGACGACGUUGAUAGGCCGGGUGUGUAAGCGCAGCGAUGCGUUGAGCUAACCGGUACUAAUGAACCGUGAGGCUUAACCUUACAACGCCGAAGGUGUUU
rnacentral:rRNA from 1 species